GUGGGGAAUAUUGGACAAUGGGGGGAACCCUGAUCCAGCCAUGCCGCGUGUGUGAAGAAGGCCUUUUGGUUGUAAAGCACAUUAAGCGAGGAGGAGGCUACCGAGAUUAAUACUCUUGGAUAGUGGACGUUACUCGCAGAAUAAGCACCGGCUAACUCUGUGCCAGCAGCCGCGGUAAUACAGAGGGUGCAAGCGUUAAUCGGAUUUACUGGGCGUAAAGCGCGCGUAGGUGGCCAAUUAAGUCAAAUGUGAAAUCCCCGAGCUUAACUUGGGAAUUGCAUUCGAUACUGGUUGGCUAGAGUAUGGGAGAGGAUGGUAGAAUUCCAGGUGUAGCGGUGAAAUGCGUAGAGAUCUGGAGGAAUACCGAUGGCGAAGGCAGCCAUCUGGCCUAAUACUGACACUGAGGUGCGAAAGCAUGGGGAGCAAACAGGAUUAGAAACCCCUGUAGUCC
rnacentral:rRNA from 1 species